rnacentral:rRNA from 1 species
GAUGAACGCUGGCGGCGUGCCUAAUACAUGCAAGUCGAGCGAACAGACGAGGAGCUUGCUCCUCUGACGUUAGCGGCGGACGGGUGAGUAACACGUGGAUAACCUACCUAUAAGACUGGGAUAACUUCGGGAAACCGGAGCUAAUACCGGAUAAUAUAUUGAACCGCAUGGUUCAAUAGUGAAAGACGGUUUUGCUGUCACUUAUAGAUGGAUCCGCGCCGCAUUAGCUAGUUGGUAAGGUAACGGCUUACCAAGGCGACGAUGCGUAGCCGACCUGAGAGGGUGAUCGGCCACACUGGAACUGAGACACGGUCCAGACUCCUACGGGAGGCAGCAGUAGGGAAUCUUCCGCAAUGGGCGAAAGCAUGACGGAGCAACGCCGCGUGAGUGAUGAAGGUCUUCGGAUCGUAAAACUCUGUUAUUAGGGAAGAACAAAUGUGUAAGUAACUAUGCACGUAUUGACGGUACCUAAUCAGAAAGCCACGGCUAACUACGUG